AUUGAACGCUGGCGGCAUGCCUUACACAUGCAAGUCGAACGGCAGCACGGGUGCUUGCACCUGGUGGCGAGUGGCGAACGGGUGAGUAAUACAUCGGAACAUGUCCUGUAGUGGGGGAUAGCCCGGCGAAAGCCGGAUUAAUACCGCAUACGAUCCACGGAUGAAAGCGGGGGACCUUCGGGCCUCGCGCGAUAGGGUUGGCCGAUGGCUGAUUAGCUAGUUGGUGGGGUAAAGGCCUACCAAGGCGACGAUCAGUAGCUGGUCUGAGAGGACGACCAGCCACACUGGGACUGAGACACGGCCCAGACUCCUACGGGAGGCAGCAGUGGGGAAUUUUGGACAAUGGGCGAAAGCCUGAUCCAGCAAUGCCGCGUGUGUGAAGAAGGCCUUCGGGUUGUAAAGCACUUUUGUCCGGAAAGAAAUCCUUGACUCUAAUACAGUCGGGGGAUGACGGUACCGGAAGAAUAAGCACCGGCUAACUACGUG
rnacentral:rRNA from 1 species